GGGAAGCGGGUGGGCCCUGAGGCUGGUGGGGGCACCCGUACCGCGGAGGGUCAGAAACCUGGGCGCCCGCUACAUCAUUCUUCGCGGGCCCGGGCCAGCCUUUUAAAAGUCUAGGUGGCAGGAGUUUUAGGAGUUCUGGAAGAGGGUUUAGGACUCCUGCCUGCGUCUCUGCUGUGAGCCCUGGCUCCGGCCUUACUCGUGUUUCCCGGCGAGGACGGCUUUUCUCAGUCAUUCUUGAACUUGGUGGUGUUUGGACGAUAUUAUUUUAUUUUUGAUGGUCCACUGUGUGUAAGGAUUGGUCGUCCUCUGCAGGGCGCAGUGCAGAGCGCCAUGAGGGAGAAGCUGGGGGAGGGAAGGAGGGUUUAGAGAUGCUCGAGGUAUGGGCCUUAUCUACGUGAAGCGUUGCAGGCGGAGGCGAAAAAUCUGGCUUCGAUACCUUCGUGGAAUACUACGUUACUUCAGUCCUGAAUCUGGUUGAGUUCCCUUAUUGACUUAUUAAAAAGGGUUUUAUUUUUUAAAAUU